GGCAGGUCCAUCAUUUACCAGGCAACACCUUCAAAUGCAGCUGUUGGGUGGCUUUUGUGUCCUUGUGCUCUCGGCUGUAGUCUUUCUUGACCGCCCCACCACUGCUCACCUGAUGGCCCCGUGAUGACUGAAGAAAACAAAACCUAAGAAUCACAGCCUAAGCCUAUUCUGCAGUCUCUUCCCAGAUUUCAACCCAAGCAGAGAGGGUGGCACAGACCAUCCCGUGAAGAAGGUUCCUCUCACACUUGUGCCGCUGACAAGCCUCGCUCCCACCCUGUCGCCCCCGGACACAGGUUCAUUCAGGGUUAGGAAUGGCUCAGGGGGUCCCAGAAAUGAAUGAAGAAAACAGGACUGCCCACUUCCCUCCAAUCGCCUCUUCACUCCCUGCUCCUGGCCCUACUGCCCUCCAAAGCCACCCCGAGGUCCCUCCAGGGUGUAUGUGGUCCCUGGGAAGCCCCUGCUGGAUCUUGGCCUUCUGUCCCAAAGCGGUUCUCUGAAUGUCUCAGCUCCACUCCAGGUCCUUGCAGGGGAUGCUCUUUCUAUGCCUUCCCUAUUUAACAUUUGCUCCAAGCUGCUCCAUUUAGAAUCCAUUAGCAGUGCGUGGGUCUCCAAGGCUACAUCUACAACAAACCUCAGACCCAGUAAGCCAGGAGAAAAAGCAUUGGCCCCCUCCCCUCCUGCCCCACUGUGAGCAGCCCCGCUGGAAACCCUGUUUCAGAGGCUCUCGGAGGGAAGGAAAGCUGUGGGCAAAGAGGACAGCACUGCACUUCUCAGAGGGAGGUCCCUUUCAGGGACCUGCCAGCGAGACAUUAACAGGCUGCAGUUUCCCAAAUCAACUCUUCAGUUUUUUUUAGAUCUCUGUCUAGGAGUUUUGGUGCUACUAGAAGGACUCAGUUUCCUGACUUUAUGAAAAGUGGAGGAGACCAGUUCUGCCAUCUCCCUCUGUGUGGAAAGAGUUGAUGUCCAAUAUCAGGGUGCCUGAAUGUUCUGUGUCAGAGGCUGAGUACUGGAGUCAAGGCAGAGCACAGGAGUUGGCUUCUAGGCUCAGCACCACAGGCCACGGUGUUGUUGAGAGCCAGCCACUCCAGCUCCCCUUAAGGGCCCCUGCUGGAAUGAGGCCCACACAGUUGGACACCAGUUGGACACCCUGGUCUGGAAUCUGCCUCGGCCUGAAGUACCUCCUUCCCAACUGUGGAAUGGGGAUGUUGGUGUCAGCGGAAUCGUCGGGUGUUUGUGGCCCACUUAACUGUGAGCUCCAGUUGACAGCUGCAUGACUUUGAUGCCGACCCUCGGGAUUACUAGAUGUGUUAUAAUUAACUCUGCUGGGAGGGUGUGGACUCUGGGGUCAGCCAGGAUGCCUGAGGUUGCCUGAUUAAGAACAAGAGCUACCCCAAGCCUUGAGUCCAACUGUGACCAUAAAAGGCUUUCUUCAGCCACUUUAUUUAAAGACUGACACCAGCUAGCAUAGUCAUCUGGUAGCCUUGGGAGCCCCCUGAGGUAAAUCUGACAUAUUCUGUUCCUCACUCCUGUUCUGU